AGUUGAGGCUGGCCAGGAGAAAGAUGAUUACAGUUAAGCUGAAAUUCUGAAGACCCAAAUCAAGACCAGAGUUACUUGUAACCAUUAGGAAAAUGUCAUGGGGGGGAAGACUAAGGUGGUAGGAAUGAAAAAUGAAAGAUCCCUUAAGUGGUCAUUUUGACCUGCAAGCACAGAAACUUAAGUGAAGUCCCAAAGCCUUGAAAACAAUGCAAAGAAUCAAGUUACACAUUUUGAACAGCCAAGUGUCAAAUUCCCGGUGAGGAGUAAGAAUGGGGGAUGAAGAGUUGGACUCUACAACUUCUUUAGGAAAUCAGUUUUUUCUAGCUGUCCCCAUGCAUAGAGAUACCUUGGAAGCCAGAACAGCUAAAAGUAUUAAGAGUCAUCUUUCUUUGGACCUUCAUGGACAUUUCUGGAGAUCAAGAUAACCUAAGCUCUCCGCCAUCUGAGCUCCCAGAUGGAUCACUGACUCUGCAUCGGGUCUUUCUUGGAUUUUGUCACUUGUGAAAUUCUCCUAGAUCUUUUCAUUCAUUGUGGUUAUUCUCUACAGUAUCUCAUUGGUAGAUAUACUGAGGUAAUCCAUGCUAAAAUUCUCAAAAUCCUUUAUGUUUGUGCCCAUUGUUCCCCACUGCUUAGCUACAAGAGAAGCUAAGAGAAGACUGACCAAUCUUUCUGAUAUACGUACACAAUCUCUGCGUGCAAUC